rnacentral:rRNA from 1 species
AUGAACGCUGGCGGCGUGCCUAAUACAUGCAAGUCGCGCGAACAGACGAGGAGCUUGCUCCUCUGACGUUAGCGGCGGACGGGUGAGUAACACGUGGAUAACCUACCUAUAAGACUGGGAUAACUUCGGGAAACCGGAGCUAAUACCGGAUAAUAUAUUGAACCGCAUGGUUCAAUAGUGAAAGACGGUUUUGCUGUCACUUAUAGAUGGAUCCGCGCCGCAUUAGCUAGUUGGUAAGGUAACGGCUUACCAAGGCGACGAUGCGUAGCCGACCUGAGAGGGUGAUCGGCCACACUGGAACUGAGACACGGUCCAGACUCCUACGGGAGGCAGCAGUAGGGAAUCUUCCGCAAUGGGCGAAAGCCUGACGGAGCAACGCCGCGUGAGUGAUGAAGGUCUUCGGAUCGUAAAACUCUGUUAUUAGGGAAGAACAAAUGUGAAAGUAACUAUGCACGUCUUGACGGUACCUAAUCAGAAAGCCACGGCUAACUACGUG